AUCCGGGAGGGCGUACGGCUGACUGCAGCUCCCUGAGGGUAGGGCGCAGCGGGCCCGGCUCCCACGCCACAUGCGACAGGACGAGAGGGAAUGGCCUCACGGGAGGCUCGGAUUUCCCAGCUGGAUCGAAUAAAUGGUAUCUAAAAAUCAGAGAAAUUCUUCUGGAUUGUCCAGAGAUCUGACCUCAGUUUGCAACUGGUUUGUGCUUUAACACCAAACAUGUUCUAAAUGAAGACUGAAACCAUUUGUUUCAUUUGAUAGCUGUUUAAAGCAGAUGCAAAAUUAAAUAUUUAAUGCAACA